rnacentral:misc_RNA from 1 species
GAAUUUGGUGUCUGGGAGAUCUUUUUGCCAAAUAAUGCAGAUGGUUCACCACCAAUUCCUCAUGGUUCUCGAGUGAAGGUACGCAUGGAUACUCCAUCUGGCAUCAAAGAUUCUAUCCCUGCUUGGAUCAAGUUCUCAGUCCAGGCACCUGGUGAAAUUCCGUACAAUGGCAUAUACUAUGAUCCGCCAGAGGAGGAGAAGUAUGUGUUCAAACAUCCACAGCCAGAGAGACCAAAAUCACUUAGGAUUUACGAGUCACAUGUUGGAAUGAGUAGUACGGAGCCAAUAAUUAACACAUAUGCCAACUUUAGAGAUGAUGUAACUUCCUCGUAUCAAAAGCCUUGGCUACAAUGCUGUUCAGAUCAUGGCUAUUCAAGAGCAUUC